AGGCAAAUUGGGCCAGAGAUAUAGAAAAUGAUUUUCGGAAUGAUAAUUGGGCUGAAGGAAGCCAUGGCAGUGAAUUGGGAAAAAUCACAUCAUCCCCCGAAUGAGCCGUUUAUAUCUCCUACUUUGUUUCGGUAUGAAUGCUUUGAUGACAUGCCUUUGGAAAGGCCAUCCCCUUUUGAAAAGCCUGACGCAGGCCCUAUUGAGAAGUUGAAGGUAGCGGGAGUUAGCCUAGAGUCACCAUCGAAAGAUAAUUCGCUUGAGGGUAGGUUAGCUACUUUAGACCAUACAAUCAACGUCGGUGGUAUAUAAGUCCCCAUUACGUUAGCUGUAAGCUUUGUAGCGAAAGAAGUGGCAGAUGACAUCAGGUAGGAAGAUUUAGAAUGUAACGGCGACUCUAUCAAUGGCAACCUAGCUAGAUCUCCAAGCGUAAGGCCAUCAGUAGAUGUGACUGCAGAAUAUCGUAAGUUGUCAGCAUUUCAGAAAGAUAUGAUUCACUUCAUUAGGAGAUGGGGUGAAAAUAAGCGGAAAGGAGAUUGGCUCAAGUGAAGGCUGGGAAGCAUGCUUUGGACUUGCUUGGAAGAAGAUGGUCAAGGCCUUCCGGUACAUGCUUGACAUUUGAUGUUUGUGUGGUAUGGAAACAUGAUGAUAUUCUUUAUCUCAAUCUUGGCAAAAUUAUUUUGCAAGUUUAGUUGAAAUGGAUAAUUACUGUCUAACCAUAUUCACAUGUGAAAAUUAGGUGUUCGUUCCAGUGUUGGAGAAAGAGCACUGGUGGUGUAUUGCCUUUGCCCUCCAGCAUAAAACAAUUUGAGUGAUUGACUCCCUCUUCAUGAAUGCAUUGGCCGACCACGAGACUACAAUUAGGGAAUUGAUACAAGCUGUUGAUGUGAUGUUACAUUGUGUGGAUCAUACAUGGUUGGUUAAUAAGUUGCCCAAGUGGGAAAUAAAGCAAUUGGAAAUCUCCAACAAACAGAUAACAAGGUCUAUGGAGUCUUGAUGCUACGCUAUAUGAAGCUAUGUUGUGAACGGUUUGCACCCGAAAGUGGAACGGUAUUCUUGAACCUAUUGAUUUGUGGACAUUAUGUAUGAUGCGCUAUAUGUUUAGUCUAAUAUAGUGGUUGUUUUUCUACAUUGCUUUGUUUGCUCAAUUAUUUGCCCUAAAACCUUAACAUUUCAAUGUAGGUUUCCAUUCCCAAAGCUAGACUCAAUGGAUGAUCAUCCUAUUCAUAUGAUUUUUACAAUGAUAAUAAAGUACA